rnacentral:rRNA from 1 species
GACGAACGCUGGCGGCGUGCUUAAAAACAUGCAAGUCGAACGGACUUCUCAUGAAGCUUGCGAUUGAGAAGUUAGUGGCGGACGGGUGAGUAACGCGUGGGCAACCUGCCCCUGAGCCCGGGAUAACAGUUCGAAAGGACUGCUAAGACCGGAUAUACUUGCGGGGAAGCAUUUCACUGCAAGGAAAGGGAACGCUCAGGGAUGGGCCCGCGUCCCAUUAGCUAGUUGGUGAGGUAACGGCCCACCAAGGCGACGAUGGGUAGCCGGCCUGAGAGGGUGAACGGCCACACUGGGACUGAGACACGGCCCAGACUCCUACGGGAGGCAGCAGUUGGGAAUCUUCGGCAAUGGGCGCAAGCCUGACCGAGCAACGCCGCGUGAGUGAUGAAGGUUUUCGGAUUGUAAAGCUCUGUCUUCCGGGACGAUAAUGACGGUACCGGAGGAGGAAGCCACGGCUAACUACGUG